AACAAUUGGAGCAGAUCAACACUACUAGCUCUAGCUCUGCGCCAUGGCGCCCGUCAAGGCGCAAGACGCGAGCACUGACCAGCAGACUAUGCUUGAUGCUCAGCUCCAGCUCUGGCACCACACCUUCGGCUACAUCAAAUCCAUGGCGCUCAAGGCCGCGCUAGACCUCCGCAUCCCCGACGCCAUCCACCAGCAUGGCGGCUCAGCCACCCUCCCACAGAUAGCCACCAAGGCCACGCUCCACCCGUCCAAGAUACCAUGCCUGCGCCGCCUCAUGCGCGUGCUCACUCUGACCGGCGUCUUCCAGCACUCGACGACGACCGACGACGACGGCGGCGAGCUUGUCUACGAGCUCACGCCGGCGUCUCGUCUCCUGGUCGGCUCGGUGACGACGAACGUGAGUCCGUUUCUGAACAUGGUGCUCGGCACCGUCUUCGUGUCUUCCUUCCUCGACCUCGGCGAGUGGUUCCAGCACGAGCUGCCGGACCCGUCCCCGUUCAAGUUGACGCACGGACGGCACGUGUGGGACCUGGCCAUCCACGACGCGAGCUUCGCCAAGCUCUGUGACAAUGGGAUGGUCGCGGACAGCGGGUUCAUCAUGGACGUCAUGGUCAAGGAGUGCGGCGACGUUUUCCAAGGGAUUAGUGGAUCCUUGGUCGACGUCGCCGGCGGGCUCGGCGGCGCUACCCAGGCCAUCGCAAAGGCGUUCCCGCACAUCGAAUGUAGUGUGCUCGAUCUCCCAAACGUUGUCGCCGUUGCUCCGACUGACACCGACGUGAAGUACAUCGCCGGCGACAUGUUUGAGAGCGUUCCAUCGGCAAAUGUUGUCUUCCUCAAGUGGGUUCUGCAUGAUUGGGGUGACGCUGAAUGUGUCAAGAUAUUGAAGAACUGCAAGAAGGCUAUACCAUCUGAAGGAGGGAAGGUGAUAAUAAUGGAUAUCGUGGUUGGAGCAGGGUCAUCCGACCAGAAGAAUGUAGAGACGCAAGUCUUGUUUGAUCUCUUUAUCAUGACUAUCAAUGGAGCCGAACGAGAUGAGAAAGAGUGGAAGAAGAUCAUUUUUGAAGCCGGAUUUAGGUCUUACAAGAUAAUGCCUGUUCUGGGUGUCCGAUCGAUCAUCGAGGUCUACCCAUAGAAUUGAAGUUUACGCAUAGGACAAUGGACAAGUGCUGUUGUGGGCGGCCGUGUUGCAGGUUGCAGCGCACAGGUUGACAGCAAAGAAAGGUUGUUCAAACUUGAAAGCGUCCAGCCACACAGUUAUUUGCAUCACGUGCUGAUGCAUUAUAGUCGUUGAUGUUAAACCAUGAAUUAUUAUAGAAAGUGCUGAACAGAGGGAUUUAAGUGUUAAUCGGUCACGAAACUUAGCCGCGACGAAAGGAUGACACCGGAGAAUUCAGGAACAUUCAAGAAGACACCCGACGCGAGGGGGGAGCCAGCCGCCAACAGGUGGGGUCGGCCGGCCCCACCCUAGCGCCGGCUGGCCCCCUAGGGUUAGGGUUUGCUCCCCCCUUCUGGAAGCUUCCUCCACCGCCUCUGCGGAGCCAUCUCGACCGCUUGUUAAGUCGGUUUGAUCCAACGACGCGCGUUCACCCCACCAGACUAUAAAUAGAAGGCAAGACCCCCCUAGAGGAGGCCAGAUCAAGAGAUGAAGAGUCAAAGCAUUAGAUAGAGAUCCACUAGAUCUAGGCUAGCAAUCAAGAUAGAGAUUAGAGAGAGAUAGAGUAGAGGAGUAGAGAUUCGGAGGAGUCCCGGCCUGUCAGAGCUUCCUCAGGAGCUGUAUCGAGAUUCGGCUCCCUCGCCCGGAACCGCGUUCUGAGGUACUUUUGUAUUUACCCUUCUGAUUCAAGUAAGCAACUUGUUUG